CUACAUACGGAUAUAUAUAGACAUACUUUAGAGUAUAGAUUCACUCAUUUUGCUCCGUAUGUAGACACCUAGUGAAAUAUCUUGAAAGACUUAUAUUUAGGUACGGAGGGAGUAAUAUCUUAUAUGAUAUAGUUUGUGCGGAAGUUUUGGCUAGGUGUACAUAAGACAAACAUAUGAUUAUAUCAAACAUUUUUUAUUAUUAAAGAAAAUGGUUGUUCGUACAUGUCUGUUCGUUCUGCGUUCAUGUCCAUUAGCUCGUCAUUACUGUGGUGUUCGUGUCCAUAACAGCAGUCAGAGACGACAGAGGAGACGUUCGCCGCCCUGCCCGCACCGACCCACAGCACCAAGCGUAUAGAGGACACACUGGCC
rnacentral:lncRNA from 1 species